UUUUUUUUUUUUUUUUUUUUUUGCUAUGUAACAAAUUAAAACAACAUUUCUUGUCUUAUCUGCAAGUCAGGAUUUCAGAAGCAGCUUAGCUGGGUGGUCCAACUCAGGGCUCUCAUGAGGAUGCAGUCUACAUGUUGGCCAGGCCUGCAGUUACCCGAACGCUUCACUGGGGCUAGAGGAUCUACUUUACAAGCUCAUUUGUACAACUGUUAGCAAGAGGCUGCUGUUCCUUGCUGGCUGCUUGCCUGAGACCUCAGCUCUUCACUACCUGGGCCUUUUCUCAGGGUGUAGCAUCUGGCUUCCCCCAGAAGGAGUGAUGAAACAGACACUGAGACCGAAAGACCAAGACAGAAGCUGUGGUCCCUUUAUGAUCUAAUCCUGCGAGUGACAUACCAACAUUUCUGCUGCACUGUAUUUGUCACGCAGACUAACCCUAGUAUAGUGUGGGAGAGGACUGUAUAAGGGUGUGAAUACCCGGAGGUGGGGCUCUUUGAGGCCUCUUGGAGGCUGGCUACCCCCUGGUCACACCUCUGCAGUGCCAAUCAGUUUGCUUUCUGUAAUUUGUCCCAUGAAGUUAGAGUUCUAGACCAGACUUCUCAGAGUUGUUACUUUUCUUUUUCUAAACUGAAACUCAGUUUUCACUAUUACCUCUUUAUAAAAAAUAUGGUCUGUUUAGAAAUCUGAGAAAAAUAUUUCAUUAUAAAAUAUUCAUAAAAUUUUUGUUUUUUGUGAAAGUUAUCAUGACCAUUUGCAGUAAGAAGACCUGGUUGUGCUCUAAAGCUGAAAUGUCAUUUAAUUUCAGGUACAUUCAAGUAAACUUUGCAGAAAGAAAAUGGGUUUCAUUUAGCUGCUCAUUAGGGGGAGAAAAGUCUGUGAUAGGCUUUUAAUAAUACUGAAGUUUAAAAUGGACCUGGAAGACUACACUUCUGUUUCACAAUUCUUGCUGUUCUCCUCAGCUCUUUUUGAUAGAAGCAAAAUCAGCUUUCUAAGAUAGUGUUGUAUGUUUUUUACUGAGCAAUAUUCUGACUCGGUGUCCUCUAGCUCACUAGGUUCUUCCUGUAGUAAAGAGUUAUAAAAGUGAGGCUGGACGCGGUGGCUCAUGCCUGUAAUCCCAGCACUUUGGGAGGCCGAGGUGGGCAGAUCACGAGGUCAGGAGUUCGAGACCAGUCUCAUCAACAUGGUGAAAUCCCAUCUCUAAAAAAAAAAAAUAUACAAAAA
rnacentral:lncRNA from 1 species